rnacentral:rRNA from 1 species
UGAGUAACACGUAUGCAAUCCACCUGUAACAGGGGGAUAACCCGGAGAAAUCCGACUAAUACCCAUAAUAUGGGCGCUCCGCAUGGAGAGUCCAUUAAAGAGAGCAAUCUUGGUUACAGACGAGCAUGCGCUCCAUUAGCCAGUUGGCGGGGUAACGGCCCACCAAGGCGACGAUGGAUAGGGGUUCUGAGAGGAAGGUCCCCCACAUUGGAACUGAGACACGGUCCAA